CCUACGGGUGGCUGCAGUGGGGAAUUUUGGACAAUGGGCGCAAGCCUGAUCCAGCAAUGCCGCGUGCAGGAUGAAGGCCUUCGGGUUGUAAACUGCUUUUGUACGGAACGAAACGGCCCUUUCUAAUACAGGGGGUUAAUGACGGUACCGUAAGAAUAAGCACCGGCUAACUACGUGCCAGCAGCCGCGGUAAUACGUAGGGUGCGACCGUGAAUCGGAAUUACUGGGCGUAAUGUGUGAGCAGGCUGUGAAAUCCCCGGGCUCAACCUGGGACCUGCAUUUGUGACUGCAUAGCUAGAGUACGGUAGAGGGGGAUGGAAUUCCGCGUGUAGCAGUGAAAUGCGUAGAUAUGCGGAGGAACACCGAUGGCGAAGGCAAUCCCCUGGACCUGUACUGACGCUCAUGCACGAAAGCGUGGGGAGCAAACAGGAUUAGAUACCCGAGUAGUC
rnacentral:rRNA from 1 species